ensembl:lncRNA
UAUAAAACAAAGAUAGCCCAAUUCACCUCUCUGUCUUUAAAAACAACCAGUAAACUCUGGCAUUGGUCUAAAAACUUCAAAUUUACCAUCCUUAAAAAGUAAUUGGUGAGUGUUCUGUUGGUUUUUUUUCAUGUAUCUACAAAGACUAAGUAAACUAGAAGUAAAUAUUUGAAUCAAUUAGAAUAAACCCCUAUUUUUGUUUGGUUGUUUCCUAGAAAUAGUGAGUUCAAAAGUGCAUGGUAAACACAUAUGUAGCAUUGCACAUAUAUGUAUGGGGUGUGUGUGUUUAUGAUUGUGCAUAGGUACAUGCAUACACCUACACAUAGGUAUUGAUAUAAUGUAUUAUACAAUAAUACAUACAUUUUAUGAAGAGAAUACAUUUUUGCAGACACAGGUUGGCCUAAUGACAAUUGAUAUUAUAAUCAUUACAUAAGACAUACUCAUGAUACAUCAUUUAUUGCUUUUGGGUUUAAUCCAUUCACUCUGUAGAGAGGAUAUGAAAAUACUAUGUGGCAAUUUCAGUGGAGAAGCAUUUAUAUUUUUACAUCCCCAAUCUUUCAGAGUUAUCUGGUCCACAAUUAUUUUCCCAUAUAUUAUGUUUAUUGUCUUACAGAACAAUAUAAAAUAAUGAAUCUCUUCUAUUUUGAAUGUAUCUCAAUUUAUUUUCAUAACAUUUAAGUGACAUUGCUGAAUUUUGACAUAUAUGGCAUAACAAGCUUUCAAAGAAAGACACUUCAAUUUUUCUAAGUAAAAUUCAAGUGGUGGAAGCUGAAGUUAAUGGCCAUCCAGAGAGAGAACUGACCUGCCAUGGGCAAGUGAUGUGCCCUAGGCAUCAAUCAAUUUGAUUUACAGAGGCAACAGGGCUCAUCGACUGGUCCAGCAAGUGGUUAAGUGUAGAAGGCUGGCUGAUAAAGUUUGUAGUGUUUAAAACAAAUUCUGCUGAGGAAAAUCAUUCUUACUUGAAUUAUCUAGAAUGAUUAAAUUUAUUAGUGGAAAUGUCGGGUUGUGUGGUAUUAUGGUUGCCUUGCAUUGCGGCAUGGCAUCGUUAUCAGCAUCUUUCUUCCAGUGAGAAUUAGUCUAUCUAUUAGGAUACAAUAAUAUUGAUUUAGUUUUUCGAAGAGCAAGAGGAACCCAAUUCUUAUUGAAAAAUAGGAAAUACAUUGCAGAAACUAAAUUAUAGAUAUUAAUGUAUAACAGAACAUUAGAAAAAGCCAGUAUGUAACUCACAUUCAUAUUAUGUAGUAAUGUAAACAUCUAAGUGUAUGGUCAUCCUUAUAAAAAUCAUAGUUGGGUGUUGGGCAGUUAAUGAAGAUCACUGUAGAAUAUAACACUAAGAAAGAUAGCAUACCAGAGAUUAGUAUGAAGAAAAAAUAUCUGAAGUCAAUGAAAGAUCCAAGGCAUGAGUCAGCCAGCAAAAAACUUCUGGCAGGUUAAGUAUAGAUGAGUUGUAUGUGGUUAAAAAGUACCUUUCCCAAGAGUUGAGUAUUUGCAUUCUUUUUCUGAGAAAAAAUGAGUUCUAAAGUUUCUUAUUAAAAUUAAGAGAAGUCUGUGCGAAUGUCAGUGUUUAUGAACGGGCUCCGCCAUUCAGCUUGAUCCUACUGGAAGUCACUGUGGAAAGAGACCACAACUUUCCUAUUCCCCUUUUUAGGUUUUCUUCCUCUCAAUUUCAUGUUCUUCUAGCUCCAUCCAUA